ensembl:rRNA 5S_rRNA 5S ribosomal RNA
GUCUAUGGCCACACCACCCUGAACGUGCUCGAUCUCUUCUGACCGUGGAAGCUAAGCAGGGUCAGGCAUAGCUAGUACUUGGAUGGGAGACAUUUUACAUGUCUGCAUAACAGAGACA